rnacentral:rRNA from 1 species
CAGCCGCCGCGGGAAUACGAAGGGGGCUAGCGUUGCUCGGAAUGACUGGGCGUAAAGGGCGCGUAGGCGGCGGCCAAAGUCAGGCGUGAAAUUCCCGGGCUCAACCUGGGGGCUGCGUUUGAUACUUGGUUGCUUGAGUGGGGAAGAGGGUCGUAGAAUUCCCAGUGUAGAGGUGAAAUUCGUAGAUAUUGGGAAGAACACCGGUGGCGAAGGCGGCGACCUGGUCCUUUACUGACGCUGAGGCGCGAAAGCGUGGGGAGCAAACAGGAUUAGAUACCCCUGUAGUCCCUGUCUCUUAUAC